AAGUCGUAACAAGGUUUCCGUAGGUGAACCUGCGGAAGGAUCAUUAGUGAAGAUUCCCGUCCUCGGACGGGAGUUCAAACCAAAAACCCAAGUGAACAACCCGCCCUCUGGCGACCUUACAAAACAAAUCAGUCCAGAACGUAAUCUAUGAAAUGAAACACAACUUUCAACAACGGAUCUCUUGGCUCUC
rnacentral:misc_RNA from 1 species